CCUGAGAAACCCAAAAGAUCGAAUGGGGAGAUUCAUCGUCAGCGGUACUGGUACGUGUGCGGUUCGCGAUGUCCGAGACUCCGGUUUCGUGGCACGCGUCCGCAUGUUUUUAUUGCCUGGUAUCGUCGGCGUGCACUUCUCCCCUAGUAGGACGUCGCGACCCGUUGGGUGUCGGUUUACGGCCCGGGUGGGUGCCUGUCUCGUGUGCGCUUUAUCGCGUCACUGCGGGGCAGACCCCUGGUUGCCUGACCGGCUGCUCGGCGGUACUCGCAAGUUAUCUGGCCGCAAACAUUCGAACUGCGUCCGGCCCGUCGCAAGCGAGGCGAGUGUUCCCGAAUGUACGGAUCUAACGCCGUCAUCGGGCCUAGCCAGCUGUUGGUUGACGGUGUCCUAGGACUGGCUAUAAUAAUUAUGAUAACGGUCAGCGACGCUACUGCUUUGGGUACUUUCAGGACCCGUCUUGAAACACGGACCAAGGAGUCUAACAUGUGCGCGAGUCAUUGGGAACUUUUUUAAGCCUAAAGGCGCAAUGAAAGUGAAGGUCGGCCUUGCGCCGACCGAGGGAGGAUGGGCCGUGUCACGAUGCGGUCCCGCACUCCCGGGGCGUCUCGUUCUCAUUGCGAGAAGAGGCGCACCCAGAGCGUACACGUUGGGACCCGAAAGAUG
rnacentral:rRNA from 1 species